rnacentral:rRNA from 1 species
AGUGAACGCUGGCGGUAGGCCUAACACAUGCAAGUCGAACGGCAGCACAGUAAGAGCUUGCUCUUACGGGUGGCGAGUGGCGGACGGGUGAGGAAUACAUCGGAAUCUACUUUUUCGUGGGGGAUAACGUAGGGAAACUUACGCUAAUACCGCAUACGACCUACGGGCGAAAGCAGGGGAUCUUCGGACCUUGCGCGAUUGAAUGAGCCGAUGUCGGAUUAGCUAGUUGGCGGGGUAAAGGCCCACCAAGGCGACGAUCCGUAGCUGGUCUGAGAGGAUGAUCAGCCACACUGGAACUGAGACACGGUCCAGACUCCUACGGGAGGCAGCAGUGGGGAAUAUUGGACAAUGGGCGCAAGCCUGAUCCAGCCAUACCGCGUGGGUGAAGAAGGCCUUCGGGUUGUAAAGCCCUUUUGUUGGGAAAGAAAAGCAGCAGGUUAAUACCCCGCUGUUCUGACGGUACCCAAAGAAUAAGCACCGGCUAACUUCAUG